rnacentral:rRNA from 1 species
AAUGAACGCUGGCGGCAUGCCUAACACAUGCAAGUCGAACGAAGGCUUCGGCCUUAGUGGCGCACGGGUGCGUAACGCGUGGGAAUCUGCCCCUUGGUUCGGAAUAACAGUUGGAAACGACUGCUAAUACCGGAUGACGACGUAAGUCCAAAGAUUUAUCGCCGAGGGAUGAGCCCGCGUAGGAUUAGGUAGUUGGUGUGGUAAAGGCGCACCAAGCCGACGAUCCUUAGCUGGUCUGAGAGGAUGAUCAGCCACACUGGGACUGAGACACGGCCCAGACUCCUACGGGAGGCAGCAGUGGGGAAUAUUGGACAAUGGGCGAAAGCCUGAUCCAGCAAUGCCGCGUGAGUGAUGAAGGCCUGAGGGUUGUAAAGCUCUUUUACCCGGGAUGAUAAUGACAGUACCGGGAGAAUAAGCUCCGGCUAACUCCGUG